rnacentral:rRNA from 1 species
CUGUGGUAAUUCUAGAGCUAAUACAUGCUAAAACCUCGACUUCGGGAGGGGUGUAUUUAUUAGAUAAAAAACCCAUGCCCUUCGGGGCUCCUUGGUGAUUCACAAUAACUUCUCAGAUCGCAUGGCCUUGCGCCGGCGACGGUUCAUUCAAAUUUCUGCCCUAUCAACUUUCGAUGGUAAGGUAUUGGCUUACCAUGGUUUCUACGGGUAACGGGGAAUUAGGGUUCGAUUCCGGAGAGUUAGCCUGAGAAACGGCUAACACAUCCAAGGAAGGCAGCAGGCGCGCAAAUUACCCAAUCCUGAUACAGGGAGGUAGUGACAAUAAAUACUGAUACAGGGCUCUUUUGGGUCUUGUAAUUGGAAUGAGUACAAUUUAAACCUCUUAACGAGGAACAAUUGGAGGGCAAGUCUGGUGCCAGCAGCCGCGGUAAUUCCAGCUCCAAUAGCGUAUAUUAAAGUUGUUGCAGUUAAAAAGCUCGUAGUUGAACCUUUGGCCUGGCUGGCAGGUCCGCCUCACCGCGUGCACUUGUCCGGCCGGGCCUUUUCUUCUGGAGAACCGCAUGCCCUUCACUGGGUGUGUUGGGGACCAGGACUUUUACUUUGAAAAAAUUAGAGUGUUCAAAGCAGGCCUUUGCUCGAAUAUUACAGCAUGGAAUAAUGGAAUAGGACGUGCGGUUCUAUUUUGUUGGUUUCUAGGACCGCCGUAAUGAUUAAUAGGGACAGUCGGGGGCAUCAGUAUUCAAUUGUCAGAGGUGAAAUUCUUGGAUUUAUUGAAGACUAACUACUGCGAAAGCAUUUGCCAAGGAUGUUUUCAUUAAUCAGUGAACGAAAGUUAGGGGAUCGAAGACGAUCAGAUACCGUCGUAGUCUUAACCAUAAACUAUGCCGACUAGGGAUCGGGCGGUGUUAUUAUUUUGACUCGCUCGGCACCUUA